rnacentral:lncRNA from 1 species
UGAGCUAAAGUCAACUCCAGAGUUUUAAAAACAGAUCUACCUACUAAAGUGACAUUAUAUUCAAAUAAGAUGUGCUUGUAUAUAUAAAAAGAUAAUGUUUACGAAUUCAACUAUGUACAUUGACUGUUAUGCAUAAAUCAUGACAAGAUGCAACUUCAUGACAAAUAUGAACAGCUACAUUACCUGAAUAUGCAGAUGUAAAUUUGUUAUUCUCUCACAAAAUUCUUAGGCACCGAGUUACGCGAAUUACCAGAAUAAGCAAUUAUAAACUAACACGUAGGGUACUUCUAUCACCAAACCUGAUAAACAAAUCAAAAACGAGAGAUUAUAUGAUUCUUGCUGACCAUAAAACUACUGUACAUUCCUUUAGGAGUUUGCUUCUUUAAAUCGUCGUAUGAACACACAUAUCAGCAUCAUGGUUAUCAGAAUACCCAAAUAACCAUAUACUUUCAAUUCCACAAUGUAAAACACCAGCAAUAGUCCAUGUCUAAAAAGUGAAUAUAAAAAUAAAGAUAUGAGGGUAGUUAACA